rnacentral:rRNA from 1 species
AAUUACCCAAUCCCGACUCGGGGAGGUAGUGACAAGAAAUAACGAUACGGGGUCUUAAUAGGUCUCGCAAUUGGAAUGAGUACAAUUUAAAUCCUUUAACGAGGAUCAAUUGGAGGGCAAGUCUGGUGCCAGCAGCCGCGGUAAUUCCAGCUCCAAUAGCGUAUAUUAAAGUUGUUGCAGUUAAAAAGCUCGUAGUUGGAUUUCGGAUUGGGCCAGUUGGUCGGCCGCAAGGUCUGUUACUGACUGGUUCGGUCUUCUUCGCAAAGACUGCGUGUGCUCUUCAUUGAGUGUACGUAGGAUUUACGACGUUUACUUUGAAAAAAUUAGAGUGUUCAAAGCAGGCUAUCGCUUGAAUACAUGAGCAUGGAAUAAUGGAAUAGGACUUUGGUUCUAUUUUGUUGGUUUCUAGGACCGAAGUAAUGAUUAAGAGGGACAAUUGGGGGCAUCCGUAUUUCGUUGUCAGAGGUGAAAUUCUUGGAUUUACGAAAGACGAACAACUGCGAAAGCAUUUGCCAAGAGUGUUUUCAUUAAUCAAGAACGAAAGUUAGAGGAUCGAAGACGAUCAGAUACCGUCCUAGUUCUAACCAUAAACGAUGUCGACUAGGGAUCAGCGGGCGUUAUUGUACGACCUCGUUGGCACCUUACGGGAAACCAAAGUUUUUGGAUUCCGGGGGAAGUAU